CCUACGGGAGGCAGCAGUGAGGAAUAUUGGUCAAUGGGCGGAAGCCUGAACCAGCCAAGUCGCGUGAGGGAAUAAGGCCCUACGGGUCGUAAACCUCUUUUGCCGGAGAGUACCCGGAGAAAAAGCAUCGGCUAACUCCGUGCCAGCAGCCGCGGUAAUACGGAGGAUGCGAGCGUUAUCCGGAUUUAUUGGGUUUAAAGGGUGCGCAGGGGGAGGCACAAGUCAGCGGUGAAAUCGCGCUGGUCAACCCGGCGAAGCGGUUGUGACAGUGUCCCGCGGGUGUGCGGAGGCCGUGGGAGGAAGGUGUGGUGUAGCGGUGACAUGCAUAGAGAGCGCACAGAACGCCGAUUGCGGAGGGAUCGCACGAAGCCGCGAUUGACGCUGAUGCACGAGCGCGUGGGUAUGAAACGGGAUUAG
rnacentral:rRNA from 1 species